rnacentral:rRNA from 1 species
CAUGCAAGUCGAACGAGCGAGAGAGAGCUUGCUUUCUUGAGCGAGUGGCGAACGGGUGAGUAACGCGUGAGGAACCUGCCUCAAAGAGGGGGACAACAGUUGGAAACGACUGCUAAUACCGCAUAAGCCCACAGGUCGGCAUCGACCAGAGGGAAAAGGAGCAAUCCGCUUUGAGAUGGCCUCGCGUCCGAUUAGCUAGUUGGUGAGGUAAUGGCCCACCAAGGCGACGAUCGGUAGCCGGACUGAGAGGUUGAACGGCCACAUUGGGACUGAGACACGGCCCAGACUCCUACGGGAGGCAGCAGUGGGGAAUAUUGCACAAUGGGGGAAACCCUGAUGCAGCGACGCCGCGUGGAGGAAGAAGGUCUUCGGAUUGUAAACUCCUGUUGUUGAGGAAGAUAAUGACGGUACUCAACAAGGAAGUGACGGCUAACUACGUGCCAGCAGCCGCGGUAAAACGUAGGUCACAAGCGUUGUCCGGAAUUACUGGGUGUAAAGGGAGCGCAGGCGGGAAGACAAGUUGGAAGUGAAAUCUAUGGGCUCAACCCAUAAACUGCUUUCAAAACUGUUUUUCUUGAGUAGUGCAGAGGUAGGCGGAAUUCCCGGUGUAGCGGUGGAAUGCGUAGAUAUCGGGAGGAACACCAGUGGCGAAGGCGGCCUACUGGGCACCAACUGACGCUGAGGCUCGAAAGUGUGGGUAGCAAACAGGAUUAGAUACCCUGGUAGUCCACACCGUAAACGAUGAUUACUAG